GGCCCGCUUCGGAGACGCCGCUUCGACGGUCGGUUUCCACGGAGGUAGAAGAGACCGCCUGCUGUAGGCUUCGUCUAGAGGAGCUGCAGCCGCCCGAGAAUCUAUGGAGCCGGCCGCCGGCCGCCGGGGUCAGAGGUAGGCGGCGGCAGGUCGGGAUGUGGGAGAGGGGCAUAGCCUAGAAGCCGCCCCGCCGCCAACCAGAUGGACGAGCAGCAAACGGCGGCGAGGGACUGCACGCCGGCGAGCAGCAGAAGGCUAGCUUGCGAUGUGGUUAGCUUUGAUCCCACGAUUUGCAAACACUCGAAAGAGAGAUCUGGAUAUAGCAUGUGAGAUUCUGAUGCAAUAUGUAUCCAAUAUUUGUUGUUGGAUCUAGAUGCGUGUAUCUUCCUUGAUACUUCUCCUAUGAAUUGCAGAUUCGUUUUUCUUCAAUUUACCUUUUAUCCCGUGUCGCCUCCUGCCUCCUACCAACAACUAGAGACGUCCACGCUAUAAAGAAUUGGACCAUAUAGAGCUAUCACGAAAAUUGGACUCAGAUGCUCAUGUAGUGUGGGGAAUAAAUGUUCUUGGAGGGAUGCUUGCAGAAUGAAAGGACAGGAAUGGGGUCAUGAUGAACAUCAAGGAGAAGAUAUGAAGGAUUCGAGGUGGGACUAGAGCCAAGAGAUUCUUUCACAACUUGCAGAAGCAAGCCGGAGCAUGUCCAUUAUUCCAGUAUGGCUAAAGGCAGCCCAUCUCACUCAAGACACCCCUUCAUUGCCAAGAAACAAAGGGGGUCUCAAUAGGUGUGAAACUCUUAGCAUGUAAUUCAGUUUUGUGUGUGCUUCUUAGCCUUACUGUGCAAUUUAAUCUGCUCUGCUUUCAACCGACCGCAUCUGAGAUAUGGAUCAUGUAUGAGUGCCUAUGCUAUGCAUCUACUUUUUAGAUUAUAUACAAUUUGGUCAUGAAUAGCUUCCCUUUUGGGGUUUUGGAAUAGUUUUUAAGACAAGGAUGCUUUUGCGCAUCUUUGUUAAGAAAAAAAAGAUUAAUAUGGAUUUAGAUUUCCACAAUCGUUAGGUGCAGGUUCAACAAUUGCAGCAUGAAAUGCCGAGGUACAGAAGAAGAUGCUUUUAGUAUGAUAGUUCCCCCAUGUUUCUAUACCAAUAUCUUCCAAAUGCUCCGAUCAUGUUCCUUUUAGCGUUCAUGUCACUUGCUUUUUUUAGACAUAUUUAUUGGCGAUCUGCAUUGUCAUGUAGUAAACUGAUGGUGAAUACUGCGUGUUCAUUUUAAGCUUGGAGCCAACAUUUAAGAUAAAUUUGCUUAGUAUGAUCAGAGUAUUCGCUUUGGAUUGACCUAACUUAAUUGAUUGUAUGGUGUGACAUUAGCUAUUCGCAUCACAGUUUGAUAGUUUCUAAUCACUAUUUCAUAUGCAGUGUAUGUUUUUAGAUUUGGGUCCAGUUGAAAACGUUAUCAGUGUUG